AUUGAACGCUGGCGGCAUGCCUUACACAUGCAAGUCGAACGGUAACGCGGGGCAACCUGGCGACGAGUGGCGAACGGGUGAGUAAUGUAUCGGAACGUGCCCAGUUGUGGGGGAUAACUGCUCGAAAGAGCAGCUAAUACCGCAUACGACCUGAGGGUGAAAGCGGGGGAUCGCAAGACCUCGCGCAAUUGGAGCGGCCGAUAUCAGAUUAGGUAGUUGGUGGGGUAAAGGCCCACCAAGCCAACGAUCUGUAGCUGGUCUGAGAGGACGACCAGCCACACUGGGACGGAGACACGGCCCAGACUCCUACGGGAGGCAGCAGUGGGGAAUUUUGGACAAUGGACGCAAGUCUGAUCCAGCCAUGCCGCGUGCGGGAAGAAGGCCUUCGGGUUGUAAACCGCUUUUGUCAGGGAAGAAAAGGCUCUCUCUAAUACAGGGGGCUAAUGACGGUACCUGAAGAAUAAGCACCGGCUAACUACGUGCCAGCAGCCGCGGUAAAAC
rnacentral:rRNA from 1 species